UGUGUUGGAUGCUAAGCUGAAGGAUAAUCUUGACUCGAGGAGCCACAGAGUACGGUUUGGACCAACAGCCUGGCAGCCUGGCUGUCCUGCCUGGAAACUCUGAGACUGUUCUGCUCCUCACACCCUGUCAGAAGCAUCCCAGAAAGCCCUGUGGGAUUCAGUGUGGGUCUCUUGAGGUUACUUCCUACUCAUCCAUGCCUGGGCCCCUGGCUCCUUCUGCAAAGACUCCCAUUCCAGGUCCUAGAAGCAAUCCUGACUGGGGACAGCCUAGACCCUGCUCUGAGGCCUUAGUGUGUGAGCCAAGAGACUAAAUAUCAUGGGUGCAGGGGCUUUCCAGCACGGCUCCAAAGCCUGGCACGUGAGAGGUGCGCAGUGAAUAUUUGACUGGAUGAACGAAAUCCUGCUUGUUCUCCUCACCUGCAUAUCAUAUCAGCCUUACUGGGCUCCAACUCCACAGGGAAGCAGAGAAGCACGAAUGACUAGGGUGAAGCCAACCUUUGCGGAGCCCACGCAGAAAAGAUGCCUCCAGGACCCCCAGUGGGACAGCUCUUUCGGACAAUGUGCUUCAGUACUGGAGGCAGCAUCUUCUCAUAAAUCGUCUACAAGACAACGUGCUUUGGAACUCAAAGAAGCAUCUCUUUUCACAUAACCAAUUACAGAACUAAUUACAAACUGUUUUUAUCUGUUCAUUAAGGUAGAUAUAAUUAAGGCAACAUUUUGUUAAACUAGUUUGAGUGUGUGCUGUAGAGUAAUAAUUACUACUUUUAUUUCUUUGUGAUCCUUUCUAAUUUGUCUUGGCUUCAUCUAAAGCCACCUCCUGUUCUUUCUUGCUCUCUGCUCUUCAUCACAAAGGCUUGGGCCCCUUGUCCUGCACCCCUGUCACUUUCCUGGUUACGUUCCCCCUCUCUUGCUGUCCCCUCAAAUUGUGCUUCCUCAGGGAGGCCUCCCUGAUGCCCCAGACUGGAGAAGUCCUCUGGUGUAAUCCCCCCAACUCACCAUUCCACUGUUGCAUCGAUAUGCACCUGUCACCUGUGCUUCCCACUGCACCGUGAGCUUCUCGAAGCCCAGGCCUCAGGCCUGUGCCAUUUCCUUCUGUGUCCCGAGUGCCCCAGACAAUACUUGGCUGUUGGUUAUAUUCAAUAAA